rnacentral:rRNA from 1 species
CCUACGGGCGGCUGCAGUGAGGAAUAUUGGUCAAUGGCCGGAAGGCUGAACCAGCCAUGCCGCGUGAAGGUCAGUGCCCUAUGGGCGUUAAACUUCUUUUGUGCGGGAGCAAUAAUGGUCACGUGUGGCCAUACGGGAGUACCGUACGAAUCAGCAUCGGCUAACUCCGUGCCAGCAGCCGCGGUCAUACGGGGGAUGCAAGCGUUAUCCGGAUUUAUUGGGUUUAAAGGGUGCGUAGGCUGGGAGUUAAGUCAGCGGUGAAAUGCCCCCGCUCAACGGGGUGAAGUGCCAUUGAUACUGUCGGGCUGGAAUGCGGAUGCCGUGGGAGGAAUGUGUGGUGUAGCGGUGAAAUGCAUAGAUAUCACACAGAACACCGAUUGCGAAGGCAUCUCACGAAGCCGCGAUUGACGCUGAUGCACGAAAGCGUGGGUAUCAAACAGGAUUAGAUACCCCUGUAGUC